ACUGACAGAAGGAUGACGAGUGAAUUUAAUUUCAAAUACGGAUACUGGAAUUUGUACAGAAGACUACACCUGGUGGCGUUAUGCGUUUAUUAUUAUCAUUUUUAAUCGUCAGACUUUGGAGCAGAAGUGGAGGACUUGGAGCCCCCUCAGGUGUUCAUUUUACUGACAGAAGAAAUCGAAGAAAAAAUGUCCUCUCUCAUCAUCUACCUCAUGUCUGUAUGGAUUUUGGACACCUUUGCUUAAACCACGCCCUCCCACAUAUGUGCGAACCUCCUCUCAUCUUCCUAGAAUUUGUAUCCCGUGAAUCAAUUGUUGUUCAUCAUUCUCCCGUGCUCUUUACUGGUAUAAAGGUUUUGCCAAACUGGACUAGACUGGAUUUACUCUGUGAUCAGAUUGCCUACAUCCAAAGCCAUCCAAACAAGAUUCCCAGUCACA